rnacentral:rRNA from 1 species
UACGUAGGUGGCAAGCGUUAUCCGGAUUUAUUGGGCGUAAAGAGAACGCAGGCGGUCUUUUAAGUCUGAUGUGAAAGCCUUCGGCUUAACCGGAGUAGUGCAUUGGAAACUGGGAGACUUGAGUGCAGAAGAGGAGAGUGGAACUCCAUGUGUAGCGGUGAAAUGCGUAGAUAUAUGGAAGAACACCAGUGGCGAAAGCGGCUCUCUGGUCUGUAACUGACGCUGAGGUCCGAAAGCGUGGGUAGCAAACAGG